CCACAACACAAUCUCUCUAAAAAACUGCGAACCAUUAAAUGAAUUUGGUCUCAAUUCGAGGAAAAAUUUUAUACCUAGAAGGUUGGUCGAAAUCUUUCUUAUGGAAAAAGUAGUGGUAAUGGAUCAGGUACGAGGUUUUUCAUCCAUCUUUAGAUUCCUUAAUUUGUUUUCGUUGUAGAGUAUGAUUCUUCGUCACCGGUAAUUCAAGAUAGCUCCUUUGCAAGUUCAAAGUUGGUGGCAGAAUUCUUAAGGAGAUUUUCCACGAGCAGUAAGCAUAACGUUAAAGGAUCAUUCUUCUUACGUAAUCUUUUAUCAGAGCAUUACAUCUUUAAUGCGUGUAUACAUUAAAUGAUCGUUCUUUUAAUCUUCUCUUUUUCUUCACUGAAAAAAAUCCCUAAUUUGGUUUUUUUUUUUUAAAGAGUAACGGUGUCUAGGGAUGAUUUGGAGUCCGGAAAAAAUCCCUAAUUUUCUCUGCUUCUUGAGAUUGACGUGGCUUCCUCAACUAUCUUCACUGAGGUUUCUCAAUUCAAAUGGAUUUUUUUUCCUGUGGGAUUUAUUCGAAUAUUUUGGGUUUGUUGGGUUUUGCUGCCCUGACCUUGCUGAUGAAUGGUCAUGUAAGGUUUUUAAAACUUUUUAAAUUUUUGGGUUUUGUAGUAAUAAAUUAAAGAUUUGAUAAGGACAUUAUUUAUUUCGUGGAAUUCCUUUUAAACAUUAGAAUUUGUUUUGUCUCACAUUUGAUGAUUUAGGUGUUGAGCAGCAAUGCAUUGAUGAUAAUCUCUUUAUAAAAAGGAGCCCUUUUUGUAUGAUGAGAACAGAAGAGUUGCCACAAUGCUCGAGGUCACCAACCCCAGGAUUGGAGCUGCUUCAACCUGAAAAAAGAUUAAUUAUUUUAUAAAAUAAGUUCCAAUUUCUUAGUAGCUUGGCUUAACAGUAAAUUCCAAGUGAAUUUAUGUUGUUUAUAGAAUGCAUAUGAGCUUUCAUGUGUAUCAUUCCUUCAAUACCUCUAUAUGGUUACAAAUGAUUGAAGAUAAUCUAUACAUUUCCGUUGAAGUUUACUUUUAUUUUUGAAUAUUUUUAUUUUUAUUUUUAAAAUUUUAGAAAUCAAUAAAAAAGAACAUUUUGGUGAUGGAAUACAGGGAAAAUGCAGUGGAAAAUGAAUGAAAUGAUUUUCACAUCCCUUUCCAGUCUCAAUCAUCGCUACAACCAGUUCAAGCAGACCUCAUCUCUCAGCUUUGUGAUCUGUAGACUGCUAUAGAAGCUUGAUUUGUUCAAUUUGGCAACAACUGCAGAGGCUAGGUCCGGACAUCGCAGCCGCCUCGCGCUGUUUUCCAAAAUCCUCUCUCACUUGGGCAUGCUCGAUGAGUGCUGCAACACUACCAUCCCUGAAUCAGAAGAUACUCAGAAGGAAGAAGAAGAAGAAAGUUGUGGAAUAUCAAAAGUUUUUUGCUUUGUGAAGGUCAGGAAGGCACACCUAUCUGGGCAAUGUCAGGAUGUCUAGGCUUGGGUGGAGACGUGGACUUAUGGAAGAGGUGAAGUAGCUUAGCUCUAUUUCAUUAGCUCUUAUCUGCUCUAUUAAUACUAAGAUCAAUAGUAAAAAGUUCUAUUGGUUUUAUAAUCAAAGAUACAUAUAGUGUAUAAACAGAGGAUAUAGCAUUAGUUUCUUUAUGUAAACAAUGAUAAUUUGAGGAGCCAUUUAAAUUAUUUUCGUAAUUAGCAUACUUUAACUUAAAUGUGAUAUAUCCGUUUAGUAUGUCUUUUGAAGUACAUGAAAAUAUGUAAAAAAAAAACCCUAAUAAAUCUAAUUAUGGGGGUUUUGUUUUAUAUCAAAAUAUUGCAGCAGAAGUCAUACUUUGAAGAGUUCCUCUUAAUAUAUUUUCAAUUUAUAACCUAAUUUUAAUUUGUCUUAAAUUUUUAAAGAUAUAAGAAUUUCGAUUUCAAUUUUAUUUUGAGAAUUCAUAUACUUACCUUUCUUUUACAUAUUCUUGAAGCUCAUGAUAAGCCUUCCUCUUUAGAUAUAGAUAUAUCUUCUUUUAAUGCACUUAGAUGCUUUAAUUUUUUUUUGAACAAUUUGUAUGUGCAGAGUAAUGAAGUCUAUCAUUGGCAUCAAUGACAUUCAAACACAUCUAUCUAAUGAAUGGCUGAAAGCAUGGAUAUAAUAUGCAUUUUCUUUGUCAUUUCAAUGCAAUGAUAAGCUAGGUUUAAGCGUUGAAUUGGGUUCCUUUAAUUAUGUCAUCUACUGAUCUCAUAAUAUUCUCACCUACAAUGAAGCAACGAAGAAAUAACAUGUACAAGUAUUUUGUUUUAAUUUUUUUACCAAUAUGAGUGUUUAGCAAAAGUUCCAGCCAUCUUCACACGGUAAGUGUGUAUCUGAUCAUUUAUUUUUAAAUACAAUUGUCUUAUCUUAAAGUGCCAAUUGCUAAAAUAUAGAAAUCCAAUCCAUUUUUAAAACAAUUGAGAAGCAUGCUAUAAGACAAUUUGGUUCUUCAGUUCAUCUUCUAGGACAUUGUAUGACCUUAACGGAUGCAUCUUUGAAUCAAUGCUUCAUAAUUUUUCUACUGAAUGGCCGAGUGGGUUUCUUUAUCCUAAGAAUUUUUUUCUGCAAUUUCUUUUUGAUUCUCUUUUUUUUUUUUUUUUUUUUUGUUCGAUCAUUUUCCUCUUAGUUAGGCUGACUAUUUUCUUUUGGGUUCUCAUUUGUUUACCCAAUUCUACUUUUGGAUUUGAUUCUUGACUGACGGGAUGUUGUAAUGAUGUGUAAUAAUGUUUAGUAUUCUUUAAUUUAUUUUUAUUUAUUUAUUUGAAUUUGGGAAAUCAAAUUAUCCAAUGGAAAUAAACUGUUACUUUACAGUAUGGCAUCAAGUUUAGAAUGACAACUAUGAAUGCCCAAGUUAUGAUUAAUCCCCCUAUUAGUUCAUUCGAAUUUGAUGUUAUCUCAUUUGGUCAAGAAGUAUAUACAACCGUCUUUAUACUUAAGAGAAAUUCAGUACAUUGGACAACAUCAUUCGCCCUCUUUUUUUUUUUUUUUUUUAAUUACUUUUUCUUAAUCUAUUUUCCCCCUCAAUUUUUCUACCAUGCCCUUUCAUUUGGUUUUUUAUUUUUCUACAGGUUUUCAUUUGAAAGGAAAAUAUUGCAUUCGAAUGAAUUCUACAUCGCUGCUCAGGUCCAUGAUUUUUUACCCCUUGCUCAGGCAUUAUUUUCUUUUCACUGCAUAUUGGUUAUAACUUUCUGUUUGGAAAUGCCUUGUUUUUCUUUCACUUGUUGAAAAUGUCUUUGCCAAAUUUUUGAGGCAUUUUCCUUGUUUCUUCUUAUCUUCUUCUUUCUUUGUCCAAUUAUAAAGUAGUUCUUCGUUUUUGUUUAUAUAAAGACCUUUUCUUUGUCCAAGGAUGCCUAACCCAACUCUUUCUAAUUUAAAUGCACUUAUUUUAUCGCACAUUGUAUCUGAUAGAGUAUAUGAAAAACAUAUUAUAUAUGCUCCUUCAUUAGUAUAUAAUAAAAAACUCCAUCUUACCUUUGGUUGUGUGUCCCCCAUUUGUUUACUUAUAUGUUCUACUGCUUCUUCGUCAAAUUAAUCACAGCAGAUUGUGCUCAAUGUGCAUCGCUGUACGUUCUUCCGAACCAACUUGCUUGUGAUUAUUGCGAGGCCUUAGAAAUAACGUGCCUGCUGUGUCCAUUUUUCUUUCUUUGCUUACAUCUUUGCGAUGAACUUCUGUCCUUGUAUAGUCGAAGUAAGGGAGAAAGAAAUCUCAGUAAAGCUUCAAGAAGCGAAUACGAUUUGACUGAUCACCGUCCUUCGUAUAUAAAGAAUCGAAUUCUGAAUGCA